rnacentral:lncRNA from 1 species
CCUAGUGGGGCAUCUGCUUCAGACUCAGAGCAGCAGUGAAUAUGGGGAUCCCUGCCAGAGGGCCUGGGUGUCCCCCAAGCCGGGGGCUGUAGACCAGCCUUGGGAACCCCUGGAGGUGGGCCUGAAGGUAGAAAAGGAGGGGUCUAUGUUCCUGCUUCAGGCAAUGACAGUGCACAGGGAUCAGAUGUCUCUCUCCCGGCCAAAGGCGAGACUCUGGGGGCCUGGAAGGAGAGAGGGGCUGGGGUAAAGGGGGCCAAGCACAGAGGAGGGUGGGUGAGAGGUUGGGCUGAGGACUGGAUGGGUGGUGAGGCAGGUCCUUCAGAAUGAUGAGAGGCUGGAGGCAGAGGGGACUUGGAGGGUCUCCCUGAGUCUGUCUUUCCUUCUUCAGCUUGAGAGAAUUGUCUGGUAUGGACCUGGUAUGGACCUGAGGAAGAAAACCAGUCUCCAGUGCCUGUGUUGUUCCUGUGGACCCCUGGCUUCUCUCCCCAGCAUGGCCCCUGGGAUCCUCCCUGGAUUCUACUGGCCCAAGCCCAGGGAAGCAUCAUAGGGCCUUCACCCUGUUCUCCAAGGCCUCCUUCCCCCACCUUCUUUCUUUCUGCCUGUCUCACUCUGUAGAGACAACCAGCAGUGAGGGCCAGAGGGCUUUGGGAGGGGAACCUUCCUUCACACAUGAUGUUGCACUGACCUCUGGGAGCUUUUUCUGACUGCAAAAACAGCCCAAUGAAUUAUUGCCCUUGAAAUUUCAGCUUUUCUCCCCAAUCUCAGCUAAGCUUCACAUUUGGGUGGGGGAUUUUGGGG